AACGCGAAGAAUCCUUACCAGCCUCUUGACAUGUCUCGUAUGGGCCGGGGAGACCCGGUUCUUCAGUUCGGCUGGCGGGAACACAGGUGCUGCAUGGUCUGUCGUCAGCUCGUGUCGUGAGAUGUUGGGUUAAGUCCCGCAACGAGCGCAACCCUCAUCCUUAGUUGCCAUCAGGUUAUGCUGGGCACUCUGAGGAAACUGCCGGUGACAAGCCGGAGGAAGGCGGGGAUGACGUCAAGUCCUCAUGGCCCUUAUGGGCUGGGCUACACACGUGCUACAAUGGCGGUGACAGAGGGCGGCGCGGCAGCGAUGCUUAGCCAAUCUCAAAAAGCCGUCUCAGUUCGGAUUGCUCUCUGCAACUCGGGAGCAUGAAGUCGGAAUCGCUAGUAAUCGCGGAUCAGCAUGCCGCGGUGAAUACGUUCCCGGGUCUUGUACACACCG
rnacentral:rRNA from 1 species